CCCUAUGUUUGAACUCAUUCCAGAAUGCCGGAUUUACUUUUCACGAAGAAACAGUACCUGGCUGGACUGCAUUUUUCUUUCCCUCCUCAGUCAGCGGAAGAUUGGAAACAAUAUUCUUUUGAUGAUGAGCGUGCUUGCAGUAAUGCGAUGUGCCUGCGUGCAAGUGUGAAUCUUGCAGGGGAGAAGGAAGACAAACUUUGCUACCUGUGAAAUGAAGACUUCUUAGGUAGCAGUGGAAAUGAAAACAAUUCUAUUUGCAAUAUUGUUCACAGACUCCACAAAUGAGUAACUUCAGUGGGAAUUGCUCAUAAACAAGAAAGAGACAGGGUCAUCUGGAUUCUUCUGAAGGCAAGAGUCAGGGCCAGAAGUCUCCAUGAAAGACCUACCCAAGACACAAGAAAAGGAUCCCACCUCUUCUCCAGAGACUCCAUCCCGCAUUGAG